GACGAACGCUGGCGGCGUGCUUAACACAUGCAAGUCGAACGAAGAGCGAUGGAAGCUUGCUUCUAUCAAUCUUAGUGGCGAACGGGUGAGUAACGCGUAAUCAACCUGCCCUUCAGAGGGGGACAACAGUUGGAAACGACUGCUAAUACCGCAUACGAUCUAAACUCGGCAUCGAGGAUAGAUGAAAGGUGGCCUCUACAUGUAAGCUAUCACUGAAGGAAGGGAUUGCGUCUGAUUAGCUAGUUGGAGGGGUAACGGCCCACCAAGGCGAUGAUCAGUAGCCGGUCUGAGAGGAUGAACGGCCACAUUGGGACUGAGACACGGCCCAGACUCCUACGGGAGGCAGCAGUGGGGAAUCUUCCGCAAUGGACGAAAGUCUGACGGAGCAACGCCGCGUGAGUGAUGACGGCCUUCGGGUUGUAAAGCUCUGUUAAUCGGGACGAAAGGCCUUCUUGCGAAUAGGGAGAAGGAUUGACGGUACCGGAAGAGAAAGCCACGGCUAACUACGUG
rnacentral:rRNA from 1 species